CUGAGUGACACCCUAAAGCCACACCACCCGCCUCUUGGUACAGCAUUUUUUUUUUAAAGGAAAGAAGCCCCAAAGCUCCGACUUUGCUUCAGCUGCCUGAGCCUCCCGUCCCUUACAGCAAGGGCGCGGGGCCACAUGACUGUCCAGCCCCAGAGGCGCCCGGGGGCGCAGGGCAGAAGUGAACUUCCUAGCGGGCCACGCAGCUUGGGCUGAACGGGGGCCCUCCCCCCCUCCCGGGGCGGCCUACCCCCCAGAACUCUGCUGCCCCGGAAGUCAGCCGGCAGCUGGAAGGCCAGGCCGCUGCGGAGGGGAGGAGGAGGGGCGGGAGGCAAUGUGGAGAGGCCUUCUCCCGGGUCCUAAGGGGCCGGCCACAGGGGGCUGCACGCCGGAGGUCCUGAAGAAUUCGGCAGGCCCCGUCUCGCAGGGGGAGGCGGCCAGGGGACGCAGGGAGCAAGGAGUGGGAGCACAGUGCUACCAGGCUUGAAGUCACAGACAACUGAAGGUCAGCUCUGCCCAGCACUAGGUUUAUAGCCUGCAGGAGGCACACGGCCCUGGCCCACGGCCCUCUGGGAGCAGCAGGGCCAACCCACGUUGCGAGGCCCCAGGGAAAAAGGGCAGGGGUGCUUGGACCAAGGGAUGGGGUGCCAAGAGCCUCCCGUUGCACAGAUGAGGAAGGGGCGCUCAGGGAGGUUGGGGGCCACAGCUGAAGAAGGCACCUGUGUGCUGACACACCCCUGCACUCCUGCCUCUGCACGGACAAGCAUGCAGCAGAACUUGCCAGGGUGACCCGGAGUUCCAAGAAAGGGCCGGUGCAGCGGGGACACAUACUUCCACAGCUGAGACACCAUGCAAUCCAGGAUGACCGGUCUAGGGAAGAGGGGCUCUGUCCCCGUGCUCCCGCUCUGUCUCCUAUCCUAGGGAUGGAGAGCCCCAGCUCUGGGAGCGAGGCUGUGACCACGGGCCCCUUGGCUUAGCCCACUGCAGCCCAUCAGAAAAGGGCAGAAGCAGGGCCUGGGAUUCAGGGCCCCUGGAGCCCGUGGGCAGGGCCACAUGGCUGGCCUGGCUUUAGUUGGGGACAGGACCACUAAACCUCUGAACCCUCCCCUCAUGUUACAAGGCGGCGGGAACAAGCCGUGAGCCUCUGGGGUAACUGAGGUCAGAGAGAGCAGUCCCCACAGCGGAGCGGCGGAGCCCCAGGGAGCCAUCCCUUCAACUCCUUGACGGGGAGGCCGUGGCCCGGUGGCUCCAUCGGGGCCAGGCCGGUCCAGGUCCUGUGUCCCUCUUCUCCCAGGAAAGGCCCACAAGGGCCCCGGGGCACCGCCCUGGCCCCACACUUCCCUCUGUGUGAGUGGCGCUGGCGAGCAGCACCCCGGAGCCCGUCCUGGGCGUCCCGAGCCCUGACCUCCCCCGGCCGCCGGCACCCACCUCUGCCCAGCCCCGAGCCUCAGUGUCCUGCUCCGCAAAAUGGGAUCAAGGGCAAGACAUGCCAUGUGGGCCGAGGAGGAGUCGAUGCCCUAUCGCGGCGCAGCCCAGGCACGUGGCACGUGUUAGGAACGGCAGCCCCACCGAGUGGGGCCGCUCCUGGCACAGGCCACCUGCUUCCCCCCACCCAGAGCUGCCUGGGCUAAUGACAGAGCCCCUCUGAGCCCUCCCACGCCUCCUCACUCACUGAAGAACUUUCUGCCUCACACGUCACCAUCUUGCCCCCAACCUGUAGCUACGUCCUGCGUGCUGGGCAAGUGCCAAACUCCUUAGUCUCUGAUACAAAGCAGGACUGCCUGUCGCUUUCUCCUGUUUUGCUUCAUGACCUAAACAGCCCCCAGCCCCUGCCCAUCAUGACCCUGUCUUCCUUUUAUUCACUAAUAGACCUGGGUUUGAAUCCCAGAACAGACCUUUACCAGCUUAGCUACUCAGAGCCUCAGUUUCCCCACCUGCAAAGCAGCGGCAAUGACACCUGCCUGGGAAGCUGCCCUCUCGUGCCAAAUCCCCCGGGAGAUGUGGGUCCUGGACGGCAUCACUCCAGAUGCCCACAGCCCCUUGCGUGUCUGAGGAGGUGGCAGAACGGGUGCAGGCACAAGACAGGGGUCAACCUCGGGCCAGUGGUGAAGGCCCCCGGGGGGGAGAAGCCUCCACCCUCCACCUAGAACAAUCCCUAGAUCCCGGUCGUGCCCAGAGGGUAGGAGCAGGUCAGCCUCGCGCGGUGCCUGCUCUUGCGGCUGUCGGAGCCCGAGUGGAAGGGAAGUCCCAGGCCAUUACGAGCAUGGGGUCCUUGCGGCAAACCGCAGAACGCAGCGGGAACGCAAAUGUAGAGUCAUUCCCUUGAAAUGAGCUCACGUCUAGUUUCCUCCGAACGGCACAGCCAUGCUGCGUCCCCUCCACCCCCACGGAUCGGACGGGGCAGUCCCAAACCCCCGGCCACAGGAAGGAACCUUCCCGGAGAUGAGACCCUCUCGAAGGCUCCUUCUGCUGGUUUGUGAGUCUAAACAUUGUCUCGGGCUGACGGCCACGGUCGUGACCAAAAGCUGCGGUGUGGAGACCCAGAGGCCACCCCUGGCCAGCCGCCUCAGCCCCUGCCUGGUCCCCCUGGUCCCCCGAGCCCCCGCCUGGCCCCCCCCGCCCCUGACAGCACACUUACUCUCCAGGCGCAGCCCAAACACAGGGAGCUAACUUCACAGGGACGGCGUCUAUGCGGGCCCCGUGCUAUGGACCUUGGUGCGCACUUGGAGGCCCACACCACCUGGUCCCUGGUGACAGGGUCUGGUGAAACCAGCAGCCCGGCCCCAGUGAUAACGCUGCACCCCUGCUUUGCACCUGCCCCUUGCUUGGGACCACGGUCACUGCCCAGCCUUCCUGCACAUUUUCACUCCCUGAAAUGCUCUACCGAUGGCCUUGUGUUUUACCCAAGUCCUCGCCCACGGGCCUCGUCACGCCUCACGGCCCUGUUGUCUGCUGUGCCCGCCCUGACCCUGGUUGAACUCACAGGCCCCCUGAAUUGGGCGGGAGCCAUCCCAGAUCAUCCCAGCGAGGGGCCGGGUCGCACACUCUCUCCCCCGGCCCGAGUCUCUGCCAGGGCCCUUCUCACCCACUAACCCCUCAACUGUGGGCCCCCCGAGUGCAAACAUCACCGCUUUGUUCCUCUCUGAAUCUCCCCAUGUGCCACGGUGUCUAUUUUGUGAGAUUCUACCUGUGUUGACUGACUAAACAAACGUAAUCUA